UACGUAGGGUGCGAGCGUUGCCCGGAUUUAUUGGGCGUAAAGGGCGCGCAGGCGGUCACGCACGUCCGUUGUGAAAUCGCUCGGCUCAACUGGGCGGGGUCAGCGGAUACGGCGCGACUGGAGCAAGGCUAGGGGGCAAUGGAAUUCCCGGUGUAGUGGUGGAAUGCGUAGAUAUCGGGGAGGAACACCAGUGGCGAAGGCGGUUGCCUGGAGCUUUGCUGACGCUGAGGCGCGAAAGCUAGGGGAGCGAACAGG
rnacentral:rRNA from 1 species